UCUAUGCUGCCGUCUUCUUCAGUACGAAAGGACAAAAAAGACAAGGCCAAUGCUAAAAGCACGCCCUACCCAACAUGCUGAACUAAACUAAAGCAUAUGACCGCACCAACUCAGCCAAAGACAAUGGCUUU
rnacentral:rRNA from 1 species